AGCCAGGUCCCACGCAAUAGCACGCCGCCGAACCCCGCCAGGUCCGGAAGGAAGCAACGGUAGGCGGUUCGUCUAUGUGCCGUGGGGUUACCUGGCUUUU
rnacentral:SRP_RNA from 1 species